GACGAACGCUGGCGGCGUGCUUAACACGUGCAAGUCGAACGGAAAGGCCCUGCUUUUGUGGGGUGCUCGAGUGGCGACCGGGUGAGUAACACGUGAGUAACCUGCCCUUGCCUUUGGGAUAACUUCAGGAAACUGGGGCUAAUACCGGAUAGGAGCUCCUGCUGCAUGGUGGGGGUUGGAAAGUUUCGGCGGUUGGGGAUGGACUCGCGGCUUAUCAGCUUGUUGUUGGGGUAGGGGCUUACCAAGGCUUUGACGGGUAGCCGGCCUGAGAGGGUGACCGGCCACAUUGGGACUGAGAUACGGCCCAGACUCCUACGGGAGGCAGCAGUGGGGAAUAGUGCACAAUGGGCGGAAGCCUGAUGCAGCAACGCCGCGUGCGGGAUGACGGCCUUCGGGUUGUAAACCGCUUUCGCCUGUGACGAAGCGUGAGUGACGGUAAUGGGUAAAGAAGCACCGGCUAACUACGUG
rnacentral:rRNA from 1 species